rnacentral:rRNA from 1 species
CGUACACUCCUGCGGGAGGCAGCAGUGGGGAAUAUUGGACAAUGGGCGCAAGCCUGAUCCAGCCAUGCCGCGUGAGUGAUGAAGGCCCUAGGGUUGUAAAGCUCUUUCACCGGUGAAGAUAAUGACGGUAACCGGAGAAGAAGCCCCGGCUAACUUCGUGCCAGCAGCCGCGGUAAUACGAAGGGGGCUAGCGUUGUUCGGAUUUACUGGGCGUAAAGCGCACGUAGGCGGACUAUUAAGUCAGGGGUGAAAUCCCGGGGCUCAACCCCGGAACUGCCUUUGAUACUGGUAGUCUUGAGUUCGAGAGAGGUGAGUGGAAUUCCGAGUGUAGAGGUGAAAUUCGUAGAUAUUCGGAGGAACACCAGUGGCGAAGGCGGCUCACUGGCUCGAUACUGACGCUGAGGUGCGAAAGCGUGGGGAGCAAACAGGAUUAGAAACCCCGGUAGUCCCAU